rnacentral:rRNA from 1 species
UACGGAGGGAGCUAGCGUUGUUCGGAAUUACUGGGCGUAAAGCGCACGUAGGCGGAAUGUUAAGUCAGGGGUGAAAUCCCGGGGCUCAACCCCGGAACUGCCUUUGAUACUGGCAUUCUCGAGUCCGGAAGAGGUGAGUGGAAUUCCGAGUGUAGAGGUGAAAUUCGUAGAUAUUCGGAGGAACACCAGUGGCGAAGGCGGCUCACUGGUCCGGUACUGACGCUGAGGUGCGAAAGCGUGGGGAGCAAACAGG